rnacentral:rRNA from 1 species
UAGGGAAUCUUCGGCAAUGGGGCACCGUAGCACUGAGCAACGCCGCGUGAGUGAAGAAGGUUUUCGGAUCGUAAAACUCUGUUAUUAGAGAAGAAUGUGUAGGAGAGUAAAAAGUUCUUACAGUGACGGUAUCUAACCAGAAAGGGACGGCUAACUACGUGCCAGCAGCCGCGGUAAUACGUAGGUCCCAAGCGUUGUCCGGAUUUAUUGGGCGUAAAGCGAGCGCAAGUGGUUUAAUAAGUCUGAUGUAAAAGGCAGUGGCUCAACCAUUGUAUGCAUUGGAAACUGUUAGACUUGAGUACAGUAGAGGAGAGUGGAAUUCCAUGUGUAGCGGUGAAAUUGCGUAGAUAUAUGGAGGAACACCGGUGGCGAAAGCGGCUCUCUGGACUGUGACUGACACUGAGGCUCGAAAAGCGUGGGUAGCAAACA